GACGAACGCUGGCGGCAGGCCUAACACAUGCAAGUCGAGCGAGCGGCGGACGGGUGUGUAAUGUAUGGGGACUGCCCGAUAGAGGGGGAUAACUACUGGAAACGGUGGCUAAUACCGCAUACUAUCGGAUAACCCAUAUGGGAUUAGCUAGUAGGUGGGGUAAAGGGUCACCUAGGCGACGAGCUCUAGCGGGUCUGAGAGUAUGAUCGGCCACACUGGGACUUAGACACGGCCCAGACUCCUACGGAGGCAGCAGUGGGGAAUAUGGCACAAUGGGCGCAAGCCUGAUGCAGCCUUGCCGCGUGUAUGAAGAAGGCCUUAGGGUUGUAAAGUACUUUCAGCGGGGAGGCGUUACCCGCAGAAGAAGCACCGGCUAACUCCGUGCCAGCAGCCGCGGUAAUUC
rnacentral:rRNA from 1 species